CAGGCUUAACACAUGCAAGUCGAGGGGCAGCAUGGUCUUAGCUUGCUAAGGCCGAUGGCGACCGGCGCACGGGUGAGUAACACGUAUCCAACCUACCGUCUACUCUUGGACAGCCUUCUGAAAGGAAGAUUAAUACAAGAUGGCAUCAUGAGUCCGCAUGUUCACAUGAUUAAAGGUAUUCCGGUAGACGAUGGGGAUGCGUUCCAUUAGAUAGUAGGCGGGGUAACGGCCCACCUAGUCUUCGAUGGAUAGGGGUUCUGAGAGGAAGGUCCCCCACAUUGGAACUGAGACACGGUCCAAACUCCUACGGGAGGCAGCAGUGAGGAAUAUUGGUCAAUGGGCGAGAGCCUGAACCAGCCAAGUAGCGUGAAGGAUGACUGCCCUAUGGGUUGUAAACUUCUUUUAUAAAGGAAUAAAGUCGGGUAUGGAUACCCGUUUGCAUGUACUUUAUGAAUAAGGAUCGGCUAACUCCGUGCCAGCAGCCGCGGUAAUACGGAGGAUCCGAGCGUUAUCCGGAUUUAUUGGGUUUAAAGGGAGCGUAGAUGGAUGUUUAAGUCAGUUGUGAAAGUUUGCGGCUCAACCGUAAAAUUGCAGUUGAUACUGGAUAUCUUGAGUGCAGUUGAGGCAGGCGGAAUUCGUGGUGUAGCGGUGAAAUGCUUUAGAUAUCACGAAGAACUCCGAUUGCGAAGGCAGCCUGCUAAGCUGCAACUGACAUUGAGGCUCGAAAGUGUGGGUAUCAAACAGGAUUAGAUACCCUGGUAGUCCACACGGUAAACGAUGAAUACUCGCUGUUUGCGAUAUACUGCAAGCGGCCAAGCGAAAGCGUUAAGUAUUCCACCUGGGGAGUACGCCGGCAACGGUGAAACUCAAAGGAAUUGACGGGGGCCCGCACAAGCGGAGGAACAUGUGGUUUAAUUCGAUGAUACGCGAGGAACCUUACCCGGGCUUAAAUUGCAGAUGAAUUACGGUGAAAGCCGUAAGCCGCAAGGCAUCUGUGAAGGUGCUGCAUGGUUGUCGUCAGCUCGUGCCGUGAGGUGUCGGCUUAAGUGCCAUAACGAGCGCAACCCUUGUUGUCAGUUACUAACAGGUUCCGCUGAGGACUCUGACAAGACUGCCAUCGUAAGAUGUGAGGAAGGUGGGGAUGACGUCAAAUCAGCACGGCCCUUACGUCCGGGGCUACACACGUGUUACAAUGGGGGGUACAGAGGGCCGCUACCACGCGAGUGGAUGCCAAUCCCCAAAACCUCUCUCAGUUCGGACUGGGGUCUGCAACCCGACUCCACGAAGCUGGAUUCGCUAGUAAUCGCGCAUCAGCCACGGCGCGGUGAAUACGUUCCCGGGCCUUGUACACACCGCCCGUCAAGCCAUGGGAGCCGGGGGUACCUGAAGUGCGUAACCGCGAGGAGCGCCCUAGGGUAAAACUGGUGACUGGGGCUAAGU
rnacentral:rRNA from 1 species